rnacentral:rRNA from 1 species
GAAAGGCGAAAAGAACCCCGGCGAGGGGAGUGAAAAAGAACCUGAAACCGUGUACGUACAAGCAGUGGGAGCACCUUCGGGUGUGACUGCGUACCUUUUGUAUAAUGGGUCAGCGACUUAUAUUCUGUAGCACGGUUAACCGUAUAGGGGAGCCGCAGGGAAACCGAGUCUUAACUGGGCGUUAAGUUGCAGGGUAUAGACCCGAAACCCGGUGAUCUAGCCAUGGGCAGG